rnacentral:rRNA from 1 species
GUUAGGAAUAUUGGACAAUGGGCGCAAGCCUGAUCCAGCCAUGCCGCGUGAGUGAUGAAGGCCUUCGGGUUGUAAAGCUCUUUAGUCCACGAAUAUAAUGACUGUAGUGGAAGAAUAAGCCCCGGCUAACUUCGUGCCAGCAGCCGCGGUAAUACGAAGGGGGCGAGCGUUAUUCGGAAUCACUGGGCGUAAAGCGUGCGUAGGCUGUUUUGUAAGUCAGAAGUGAAAGCCCAGGGCUUAACCCUGGAAUUGCUUUUGAAACUACAAGACUCGAAUUCGGGAGAGGAUAGCGGAAUUGUCAGUGUAGCAGUGAAAUGCGUAGAUAUUGACAGGAACACCAGUGGCGCAAGCGGCUAUCUGGACCGAUAUUGACGCUGAGGCACGAAAGCGUGGGGAGCAAACAGGAUUAGAAAUCCCGGUAGUCC